GUUUAUAAUUAAUUUUUUUUGAGUAUGUAAAAUUUUUUUACUAAAUAAAGUUAAACUACCAUUCUCAAUUUUGAGAAACAAAGGUGCAAGUAUAGUGCAAUGAAAUGAUCAUAAUCUAAAACAAGGUAUGUUUAUGAUUGAAACAUUUCAUAACUAAAUAUUUUAAUAAAUGUAUAAAGCUGUUUCUAUCUUGAUUAUUUCUACUCCGACUAGUUCUACCAUAUUUAUACAAGUAAAACUUCUAGUAGAAAUAACUUUGUAUACAUAAUAUUGAGCAAUGAUUUUUUUUUUUUAGGUUAAGCGGAAGACUUUUUUCAUUAUUAACAAUCAUUGAUUAUAAAAUAAUUGAGAAAACAACUGUACGUUAAAUAAAAAAAUACAAAAAUAUUUAAUUCACCUUAUAAAAAUUGACAAAUAUAAAUAUUGACAAACCUAAAUUUUGACUAAAGAACAAAAAAGUAAAUGUAAGAUAAGAUGUACGCUUAAAGCGAUUUAGAGAUUUCAAGUUUUAAACUUCAAGAAUCAGGUUGUUUUUUUAAAUUUAGCUUUUUUUAAUAAUUUUUCAAAAUUGGUUUUAUAUCUGAUAUUCUUAACUAAUUACUUCAAUGUAAGUCCAUAUAAAAGGUUGGAGUGUGCAAUCUUUUGUAUUGUUUUUUAAUAUCAAUUUUAGAACGUGGUACUUAUCACAAUUGUUUGCACAUUAGAGAAGCUAGCCCUGACAUUACAGUGAAAAAAGUUGUUAAAUGUGCCCCAAGAAGUCCUUACAUUUUUAUCACAGAGCACAGCGGUUGAGCAUUUAAUUGAAUUUUUACGCUUCCUUCUUAACCAAUGUCGCAAAACUUGCCCAGAGGUUCGAACCACGGGUCCUUUGUUUCUGCAUUUGCCACACUUUAUUGUUACGAUGAACUGCCAUCAAGUUUUAAGCUUAUAUUUGAAACCCCAUUGUUAAUAAAUAAUGACUUUUCAUUUUUCAGAAGAUGUUAUGGUUUUCAAUAUGCAGUAUUAAUGGAUACCAUGAUACCAGAUAUACCAUGCCUAAUGUCUGAAAUCAAAAAGUCUUUAUCUGCAGUGAAUAUCCUGGAGAUA